rnacentral:rRNA from 1 species
ACGGCUCAGUAACACGUAGCUAACCUACCCUCGGGACGGGUAAAACCCCGGGAAACUGAGGUUAAUACCCGAUAGGUGUGGAUUCCUGGAAUGGUUCCACGCCUAAAAGUAAGCGCAUCCAUGUUUGCGUGCACGCCCGAGGAUGGGGCUGCGGCCGAUCAGGCAGUUGGUGAGGUAACGGCUCACCAAACCUUUGACCGGUACGGGCCAUGAGAGUGGUAGCCCGGAGAUGGGCACUGAGACGAGGGCCCAGGCCCUACGGGGCGCAGCAGGCGCGAAACCUCCACAAUUCACGAAAGUGAGAUGGGGUUACCUCGAGUGCCGCCUGAAGAAGGCGGCUUUUCCAUUGUGUAAUGAGCCGUGGGAAUAAGGGGGGGGCAAGACUGGUGUCAGCCGCCGCGGUAACACCAGCCCCCCGAGUGGUGGGGAUGAUUAUUUGGCCUAAAGCGUCCGUAGCCGGCUCUGUAAAUCUCUCGUUAAAUCCAGCGUCCUAAGCGUUGGACUGCGAGAGAGACUGCAGAGCUAGAGGGUGGGAGAGGUCAGCGGUAUUCCUGGGGUAGGGGCGAAAUCCAUUGAUCCCAGGAGGACCACCAGUGGCGAAGGCUGCUGACUAGAACACGCCUGACGGUGAGGGACGAAAGCUGGGGUAGCGAAUCGGAUUAGAUACCCGAGUAGUCCCAGCCGUAAACGAUGCAGGCUAGGUGUUGGGUUGGCCACGUGCCAGCUCAGUGCCACAGGGAAGCCAUUAAGCCUGCCGCCUGGGGAGUACGGCCGCAAGGCUGAAACUUAAAGGAAUUGGCGGGGGAGCACCACCAGGCGUGAAGCCUGCGGUUUAAUUGGAUUCAACGCCGGGAA